GAAGCCAACAAACAGAAGAGAAAAAAAAAACAAAACACACAAGUGAGGCAACACUCAUUUCACUCUUCUUCUUCUUUUUUUUUGAUUUUAUUUUCCUUCUUCCCACCUC
rnacentral:ribozyme from 1 species